UAUGCUUUUAGAAGUAUAGCAGCAUUUGUAGUAUUAAGUCAUUUUUUAUGCUAGAAUUUUCGAAUCGAUAAUUAGCUCUAUUAAAUUUGAUAUAGAAUAUUUGAAGUAAUUAGAAAAUACAUUUCGUGAUUUCGUGUUUUUUUUUAUACCAUAUACCUAGUGACCGACGGAGCCUAAAAUUAAUAAUUUUGAUAAUCGUGGUAAAUCAUUUGCAGAUUUAAUGGUCUAAAAAUAUUCAAAUCAUGUAUUUUGUAAAUUAUAUCAAAAAUUUAUGAGAUUUAUUUUCUAAAUAUUUUUACUACUCUAGAUUAAGCCAAAUGGAGUCGAUCGUCAAUCCGAAAAUUCUAGCAUAAAAAACGAUUUGGUAAUACGAAAACUAAAGUGCUUUCAGAAGUACGUAUACAAG
rnacentral:lncRNA from 1 species